rnacentral:sRNA from 1 species
UUUGCUUUAUAGCCCGAGAGGAUGAGAACCUCCGGGGGUAAGAGGUUCGACUCGAGCGUAGCGAGAGAACGUUGCGUAAGCAACGGCCCGCAGUGGCGAGUAAUCCUCUAUCACCGACCA